UUACGGUCAUAUCGCGUUGAAACACCGGUUACGGUACGAUCAUCGACGUUAAGCAACGUCGAGCCUGGUCAGUACCGAAAUGGGUGAUCGCUGGAGAAUACCAGGUGGUGUAAU